rnacentral:rRNA from 1 species
CCUACGGGUGGCAGCAGUGAGGAAUAUUGGUCAAUGGCCGUAAGCCUGAACCAGCCAAGUAGCGUGAAGGAAGACUGCCCUAUGGGUUGUAAACCUCUUUUAUGAAGGGAUAAAGUUGUCCACGUGUGGAUGUUUGCAGGUACCGCAUGAAUAAGGACCGGCUAAUUCCGUGCCAGCAGCCGCGGUAAUACGGAGGGUCCGAGCGUUAUCCGGAUUUAUUGGGUUUAAAGGGAGCGUAGACGGGUUGUUAAGCGUGUCGUGAAAGUUUGUGGCUCAACCAUAAGAGUGCGGCGCAAACUGGCGACCUUGAGUGCGCGUAAGGUAGGCGGAAUUCGUGGUGUAGCGGUGAAAUGCUUAGAUAUCACGAAGAACCCCGAUUGCGAAGGCAGCCUGCUGAAGCGUCACUGACGCUGAUGCUCGAAAGCGCGGGUAUCGAACAGGAUUAGAUACCCGAGUAGUC